GGCUAUGGCGGGCGGGGCGUGGGGGCCUCGUGCCCGCCGGCGAUCAUCACACACCGGUUUUCGAGCCACGCCCUGUCCGCCACCUUU
rfam:Stenotrophomonas maltophilia SKK35, WGS project CALN01000000 data, contig: 1330